rnacentral:rRNA from 1 species
GCAGUGGGGAAUAUUGCACAAUGGGCGAAAGCCUGAUGCAGCUAUGCCACGUGUAUGAAGAAGGCCUUAGGGUUGUAAAGUACUUUCAUCGGGGAGGAAAAAACAAAACUAAUAAUUUUAUUUCUUGACGUUACCCGAAAAAGAAGCACCGGCUAACUCCGUGCCAGCAGCCGCGGUAAUACGGAGGGUGCUAGCGUUAAUCAGAAUUACUGGGCGUAAAGAGCACGUAGGUGGUUUUUUAAAGUUCAGAUGUGAAAUCCCUGGGCUUAACCUAGGAACUGCAUUUGAAACUGAAAUACUAGAGUAUCGUAGAGGGAGGUAGAAUUCUAGGUGUAGCGGUGAAAUGCGUAGAUAUCUGGAGGAAUACCUGUGGCGAAAGCGGCCUCCUAAACCGAAUACUGACACUGAGGGUGCGAAAGCGUGGGGAGCAAACAGGAUUAGAUACC